rnacentral:lncRNA from 1 species
CGCCCUCGAGUCCUCCCCGUCCUCGCUCGAUUUCCCGCUCGUCGACGUCGGUUCGCUCGAUCGCUCGAACGCCUCUCGCGCUCGCGCGUGUCUCAGCGCAUCAAGCGUACACUACGAUAAAAUCGCGCGUCACGCGCGCGCGCGUCGUCAGUCACGUCGUCCCGAUCGUUUCCUUCCCUCUUCCUCCGCUCGGCGUCGAGAUAUUUCCUUCUAUCCACAACCGCCUCGGCGUUUGAACCAUCGUCCCGUCCUUCGCCGUCGUCCGCGCGUCCUCGCCGACCCUCUCUCUCGCUCGCGCGCGUCGCGCAACCUCCCCGCGCGUCGUUCAUCGCGCGCCGUUCGCCCGCCUUCGCCUCGCGCGCGCGCCUCGGCUCGAUAAUCCAUCGCCCCGCGUUCGAUCGAUCGUCCCUCGCGUCGUCGUCGUCGUCGUCGUCGUCGUCGUCGUCGUCGUUCGCGCGCGUCGCGGCGCCUCGCGCGCGCGCCGCGACGCGCCGCGCGAUCGUCGCGCCGAAGUCGCACCUCUAUCGCCAGGCGUAUCGCGCCCCCGCGCGCGAGCGCGUCGCCGUCCGCGCGCAUCGCUGUGCGGUGCCGCGCGACGCGGCCGACGCCCUCGCGGGUUCCGCGCGAACAACGGGCGCGAGACGGCGCAGAGUACGCGUCGUCGAUCGGGUCGAGUGUUUAUGCACACGGGG